UUAGAAAUAAUUGUAACGAAAUUCGUA
rnacentral:sRNA from 1 species